rnacentral:rRNA from 1 species
AGUGAACGCUGGCGGUAGGCCUAACACAUGCAAGUCGAACGGCAGCACAGUAAGAGCUUGCUCUUACGGGUGGCGAGUGGCGGACGGGUGAGGAAUACAUCGGAAUCUACUUUUUCGUGGGGGAUAACGUAGGGAAACUUACGCUAAUACCGCAUACGACCUACGGGUGAAAGCAGGGGAUCUUCGGACCUUGCGCGAUUGAAUGAGCCGAUGUCGGAUUAGCUAGUUGGCGGGGUAAAGGCCCACCAAGGCGACGAUCCGUAGCUGGUCUGAGAGGAUGAUCAGCCACACUGGAACUGAGACACGGCCCAGACUCCUACGGGAGGCAGCAGUGGGGAAUAUUGGACAAUGGGCGCAAGCCUGAUCCAGCCAUACCGCGUGGGUGAAGAAGGCCUUCGGGUUGUAAAGCCCUUUUGUUGGGAAAGAAAAGCGGCAGGUUAAUACCCCGCUGUUCUGACGGUACCCAAAGAAUAAGCACCGGCUAACUUCGUG